UUCACACAAGUGCUACAUCCAAGCCAGUCGUGAAACAAAAUGAUUUGGAUUUUCUCAUUUUUUCAAAGAAUACUUACUGAUGUGUUACGGAAGCUAAAAGGGAAAACCAAAUUGAUGAUAAUCAAUUCCUAUGGACAUAUCAAAGCAGGUGUUGAAUAUCUGAAAGCUCUAUUACCGUUUAUCUUAGUUUGGCAUGUGAUCAGAGAUUUUGAUAUUUCUGGAUGGAACUGGGCAUGACUGAUGAUGAGGAAACUGACUCCUAGAGGGACUGACUAGACCAAGGUCACACCACUAACAGAAAAUCGAGGUUAAAGCAUGAUUAACACAUGUUUUGAGAAAUGAGGAUGAUGAAUAUCAGACCACUGACAAGCUGUGUUCUAACAGCAAAAUGAAGAGAAAAAAAUAUAUUCUAUAACUUGAUUUACCAAAGACGAAAAAAAAAAACACAAAACAGGCUUGAUGGAUUUACUUCUUCCCUGAAUAGAUCGGUUGUCUUUAUGUCAUGCAGAGAGAGCCGAAGCAGGACUUCAGUCAAAUGACAUCACAAUUUUAUGCAGCUAGGUGGCUGUUUUCCAAAGAACAGCAGAAUAUUUGUUGGUCAGCCUCCUGUGUCUCAGCAUUAUAUUCCUCAAAAGUUGAAUUAUUGAUGGACAUCUGCUCUGUGUGGCGCAUGGCAGUGGGAUGUAUUGGGAAGAAUCUGGAUUUUGGAAUCAUACUGUGUUCAAAUCAGAGACUCAGCU
rnacentral:lncRNA from 1 species